UUGAUACUAAGCCAUGCAAGUCAUUGUAGCAAUACAAGGCAUACGGCUCAGUAACGCGUAGUCAACCUAACCUAUGGACGGGAAUAACCUCGGGAAACUGAGAAUAAUGCCCGAUAGAACAUUAUGCCUGGAAUGGUUUAUGUUCCAAAUGAUUUAUCGCCGUAGGAUGGGACUGCGGCCUAUCAGUUUGUUGGUGAGGUAAUGGCCCACCAAGACUAUUACAGGUACGGGCUCUGAGAGGAGUAGCCCGGAGAUGGGUACUGAGACACGGACCCAGGCCCUAUGGGGCGCAGCAGGCGAGAAAACUUUGCAAUGUGCGAAAGCACGACAAGGUUAAUCCGAGUGGUUUCUGCUAAAGGAACCUUUUGUCAGUCCUAGAAACACUGAUGAAUAAGGGGUGGGCAAGUUCUGGUGUCAGCCGCCGCGGUAAAACCAGCACCUCAAGUGGUCAGGAUGAUUAUUGGGCCUAAAGCAUCCGUAGCCGGCUCUGUAAGUUUUCGGUUAAAUCUGUACGCUCAACGUACAGGCUGCCGGGAAUACUGCAAAGCUAGGGAGUGGGAGAGGUAGACGGUACUCGGUAGGAAGGGGUAAAAUCCUUUGAUCUAUUGAUGACCACCUGUGGCGAA
rnacentral:rRNA from 1 species